AAGGGCAUCCGCUGAAUAAAACAUAUGCUGGACUCGUACCCGCUCGUCCUCGUCAUCGUGGUCAACUCCUCUCUGCAUCUCAAAUCUGCUGAUGAACAUGAUGAGCUUACUGGAUAAACUGGUUGCGGUGGGAAAGCCCUUCACACGGAGAUCAGAUUUAGAAUUCAAGAAUCACCAAAGAGCAGAGACACAACAGCUCCCUCUAAAGGCCGCUUGCUGCCCCUGCAGUCAGAAAACAACAAGGAAGUAGAUGAGACGUGAUAAUGAAGACGCGAUAUGAUCGACUGUAUCGUUAAUACAUUAUUAAUACAUGACUUCAUAGCAGUUAAUCAAAUAAAAAAUAAGGUAGUUUAGUUGCUGGACGUUUAUGUUUAAACUCUGUAGCUUUAUUUCCACCUGAGGUUGUGUUCUGGGCUGCCCAUCACAAUAUGGAUACCAGAACUUGUUUGUGGUUCAUAGGAUUUCAUAGGGUCCCCAUUUGGACUCCAAAAUAAAUACAUAUGUAUGCUCUAGAAACCUUAACUUCCCUUUACUUCGGCAAGAUGAUUCAAAACAGCCUAUAAAAUACUGGUUGCAAAACUGCAGAGUUGGGACAUCAGUAUGCUAAGCAACACAGGAAACUGACUAAACAUUGGAGGAGUUGUGUGAAUCGCCUGCGCUCUAGAAUGAUGUUAUUUGAUUAAUAUGAUACUGGGUGGAUGCCUGUGGGAGCAGCUGGUUUGGUGUUUGUCUUAAGAUUGUUUAAAAACUCCUAGGCCUUUGUUUGGGAGGGCUCCUGAUUUCUCCUGACAGGGAGUGAGAUGUUGAGCAGUCAGUUGUUAUGUAAUACACCUGAAAGAAGCCGCAGCAUGAGGUCAAGAGGGUUACUUGGGUCAUUCUGGGUUACAAUUUUUCUAUUUACUUCAUCUGCUUACUGAGGAAAAGUGAAGAUGAUUAUGAAAAUAAUGAAGAUUGUGUACAAUGUUGAUGAAAGUUAGGUUUUGAGAUAAAGACUAAGUAUAUUCACAUUUUGACUGGGAUUACUGGAAAAUUUAUUCAGAAAGAAACUACUUUCACAAAGGUGCCACAGUAAAAUGAUUAGACAAAUGCAUCACUAUAUAAAAAAUCCAUUUACAUAUAGGCUUCACUCCUAUCUCUGCAAAAAAUACAUCAGAAAUCAGAAAGAGCUAGGUAGGUUCACACAGGAGAAUUUGUUUUUGUGACAGAGCUUCUACACUGCAACAGAAUUACAGAGACAGGACAACAAACAGAUAUUAAAUGUAGAGAAGAAACAGUUUCUGUGUCGGGUUGUUCUGCAGCACAGUGCUCUGUAGUGUUGACCAAUAGGUAAAGAGGCAGUGUGAGGGGUUCAGAGUGAUUUUGGCAGCCUUUCUGCUCGCUCUACAUGAGUACAGUUCUUGGAGAGUAGGGAGGGUUGUAUCUGUGAUUCGCUCAGCAGCCUGACGUAGUCUUCGAAGGUCAGAUUUGGUAGCUGAGGUAAACCAGACAGUGAUUAAAGUGCAGAGGACUGAUUCAAUGAUGGAAGAGUAGAACUGUUUAAGCAGCUCCAUUGGAAGGUUGAACUUAUUCAGCUGACGAAGGAAGUGCAGCCUCGAUUAAGUUUGUUGACAAUGGAGUCAAUGUGAAUGUCCCAUUUCAGGUCCUGAGAGAAGGUGGUGCUCACUGCUCAGGAACCUGAAUGACUUCACUGCUGCCACAAUGCACUCCAUAAUGCUCAGGGGGAGAGCAGAGGGGUUUCUCCUGAAGUCCACUAUCAUCUCUACUGUUUUAAGCUCCAGGUUGUUGUGAAAUACAUAAAGAGUCAUUUACAUUGAUAUUUUAGAAACACGUUUGAAAUAUUUAUUCAUGCAUUCAUUUUCAAUCGCUUUUCCUUGGCCGGGUCGCGGCGUCAGCAGUCUUAGGAGAAAACCUUAGACUUCCCUCUUCCCAGACACUCCAGCUCCGCCAGCCAAGAAAAGACAUAGUCCCUCCAGAGUGUCCUGGGUCCUACCCAAUGCCUCCUACUGGGACAUGCCUGAUACACCUCCCUAGGUAAUUCUUUGAAAAACCGCAUUAUAAUUGUAACCCUUCAUUCAUUCAUUUUCUUUUCGGCUUAGUCCCCUCGUUAUUCUUGGGUUGCCACAGCGGAAUGAACCACCAACUUAUCCAGCAUGUUUUACGCAGCAGAUGCCCUUCCAGCUGCAACCAAUCUCUGGGAAACCCAGUAACUUAAUGUAAUUUAAUUAACUUGUAAAUAUACUCAUCAAAAAUUUAAGUUUUAGUAAAUGUUCUCUCAGAGACUAAACCUCUUAACAGGACUAGUGUACACAUUUUUAACAAAAUAAAAGUUAAACUUAUAUAUAUA